AUGCAGUUCAUAAUUUGUAGAUUUCGGGUAGCAUUAACUAGCAAUGGUGUCUACUGAUAUCUCGGUUAAUAACAAUGUUAAAAAAAAAAAAAGUGAACCUACUGUAAAUCUAAUAAUAAUAGGAUGAUGCCGUACGUGGAGUGCAAUACCUAGUUUUUACAAAAACACCAUUGACAAAUUGUUGUAAAUAAGAUGUAUAAUAUACGCUGUGUCGUAGGGUAUUUAUGAACUAUUACAGUAACUGGUAAUGGUCACUGUACAACAGCCGGUGGUUGAGUGGCCAAGUUAGCUUACGCCCUUUUUGCUCUUUGGUACAAGCGGUUUUAAACAGCGUAACGUUGCACGAAU